rnacentral:rRNA from 1 species
CCUACGGGUGGCUGCAGUGAGGAAUAUUGGUCAAUGGGCGAGAGCCUGAACCAGCCAAGUAGCGUGAAGGAUGACUGCCCUAUGGGUUGUAAACUUCUUUUAUAAAGGAAUAAAGUGAGCCACGUAUGGCCGUUUGCAUGUACUUUAUGAAUAAGGAUCGGCUAACUCCGUGCCAGCAGCCGCGGUAAUACGGAGGAUCCGAGCGUUAUCCGGAUUUAUUGGGUUUAAAGGGAGCGUAGAUGGAUGUUUAAGUCAGUUGUGAAAGUUUGCGGCUCAACCGUAAAAUUGCAGUUGAUACUGGAUAUCUUGAGUGCAGUUGAGGCAGGCGGAAUUCGUGGUGUAGCGGUGAAAUGCUUAGAUAUCACGAAGAACUCCGAUUGCGAAGGCAGCCUGCUAAGCUGCAACUGACAUUGAGGCUCGAAAGUGUGGGUAUCAAACAGGAUUAGAUACCCCUGUAGUC